rnacentral:rRNA from 1 species
ACGCUCGACACCUACGGGAGACAGCAGUGGGGAAUAUUGCACAAUGGGGGAAACCCUGAUGCAGCGACGCCGCGUGAGUGAAGAAGUAUUUCGGUAUGUAAAGCUCUAUCAGCAGGGAAGAAGAUGACGGUACCUGAGUAAGAAGCCCCGGCUAACUACGUGCCUGCAGCCGCGGUAAUCUGAGCGGGCUGGCAAGGC